rnacentral:rRNA from 1 species
UACGUAGGGUGCGAGCGUUGUCCGGAAUUACUGGGCGUAAAGAGCUCGUAGGUGGUUUGUCGCGUUGUCCGUGAAAACUCACAACUCAAUUGUGGGCGUGCGGGCGAUACGGGCAGACUGGAGUACUGCAGGGGAGACUGGAAUUCCUGGUGUAGCGGUGGAAUGCGCAGAUAUCAGGAGGAACACCGGUGGCGAAGGCGGGUCUCUGGGCAGUAACUGACGCUGAGGAGCGAAAGCGUGGGGA